rnacentral:rRNA from 1 species
GACGAGCGCUGGCGGCGUGCCUAAUACAUGCAAGUAGAACGCUGAAGGAGGAGCUUGCUCUUCUGGAUGAGUUGCGAACGGGUGAGUAACGCGUAGGUAACCUGCCUGGUAGCGGGGGAUAACUAUUGGAAACGAUAGCUAAUACCGCAUAAAAUUGAUUAUUGCAUGAUAGUCAAUUAAAAGGUGCAAUUGCAUCACUACCAGAUGGACCUGCGUUGUAUUAGCUAGUUGGUGAGGUAACGGCUCACCAAGGCAACGAUACAUAGCCGACCUGAGAGGGUGAUCGGCCACACUGGGACUGAGACACGGCCCAGACUCCUACGGGAGGCAGCAGUAGGGAAUCUUCGGCAAUGGACGGAAGUCUGACCGAGCAACGCCGCGUGAGUGAAGAAGGUUUUCGGAUCGUAAAGCUCUGUUGUAAGAGAAGAACGAGUGUGAGAGUGGAAAGUUCACACUGUGACGGUAUCUUACCAGAAAGGGACGGCUAACUACGUG